rnacentral:rRNA from 1 species
AGAGUUUGAUCAUGGCUCAGGAUGAACGCUGGCGGCGUGCCUAAUACAUGCAAGUCGAACGAGUUCUGAUUAUUGAAAGGUGCUUGCAUCUUGAUUUAAUUUUGAACGAGUGGCGGACGGGUGAGUAACACGUGGGUAACCUGCCCUUAAGUGGGGGAUAACAUUUGGAAACAGAUGCUAAUACCGCAUAAAUCCAAGAACCGCAUGGUUCUUGGCUGAAAGAUGGCGUAAGCUAUCGCUUUUGGAUGGACCCGCGGCGUAUUAGCUAGUUGGUGAGGUAACGGCUCACCAAGGCAAUGAUACGUAGCCGAACUGAGAGGUUGAUCGGCCACAUUGGGACUGAGACACGGCCCAAACUCCUACGGGAGGCAGCAGUAGGGAAUCUUCCACAAUGGACGCAAGUCUGAUGGAGCAACGCCGCGUGAGUGAAGAAGGCUUUCGGGUCGUAAAACUCUGUUGUUGGAGAAGAAUGGUCGGCAGAGUAACUGUUGUCGGCGUGACGGUAUCCAACCAGAAAGCCACGGCUAACUACGUGCCAGCAGCCGCGGUAAUACGUAGGUGGCAAGCGUUAUCCGGAUUUAUUGGGCGUAAAGCGAGCGCAGGCGGUUUUUUAAGUCUGAUGUGAAAGCCCUCGGCUUAACCGAGGAAGUGCAUCGGAAACUGGGAAACUUGAGUGCAGAAGAGGACAGUGGAACUCCAUGUGUAGCGGUGAAAUGCGUAGAUAUAUGGAAGAACACCAGUGGCGAAGGCGGCUGUCUGGUCUGUAACUGACGCUGAGGCUCGAAAGCAUGGGUAGCGAACAGGAUUAGAUACCCUGGUAGUCCAUGCCGUAAACGAUGAAUGCUAGGUGUUGGAGGGUUUCCGCCCUUCAGUGCCGCAGCUAACGCAUUAAGCAUUCCGCCUGGGGAGUACGACCGCAAGGUUGAAACUCAAAGGAAUUGACGGGGGCCCGCACAAGCGGUGGAGCAUGUGGUUUAAUUCGAAGCAACGCGAAGAACCUUACCAGGUCUUGACAUCUUUUGAUCACCUGAGAGAUCAGGUUUCCCCUUCGGGGGCAAAAUGACAGGUGGUGCAUGGUUGUCGUCAGCUCGUGUCGUGAGAUGUUGGGUUAAGUCCCGCAACGAGCGCAACCCUUAUGACUAGUUGCCAGCAUUUAGUUGGGCACUCUAGUAAGACUGCCGGUGACAAACCGGAGGAAGGUGGGGAUGACGUCAAAUCAUCAUGCCCCUUAUGACCUGGGCUACACACGUGCUACAAUGGAUGGUACAACGAGUUGCGAGACCGCGAGGUCAAGCUAAUCUCUUAAAGCCAUUCUCAGUUCGGACUGUAGGCUGCAACUCGCCUACACGAAGUCGGAAUCGCUAGUAAUCGCGGAUCAGCACGCCGCGGUGAAUACGUUCCCGGGCCUUGUACACACCGCCCGUCACACCAUGAGAGUUUGUAACACCCGAAGCCGGUGGCGUAACCCUUUUAGGGAGCGAGCCGUCUAAGGUGGGACAAAUGAUUAGGGUGAAGUCGUAACA